rnacentral:rRNA from 1 species
GAUGAACGCUAGCUACAGGCUUAACACAUGCAAGUCGAGGGGCAGCGGGAUUGAAGCUUGCUUCAAUUGCCGGCGACCGGCGCACGGGUGAGUAACGCGUAUCCAACCUUCCGUACACUCAGGGAUAGCCUUUCGAAAGAAAGAUUAAUACCUGAUGGUAUGAUGAGAUCGCAUGGUAUCAUCAUUAAAGAUUUAUCGGUGUACGAUGGGGAUGCGUUCCAUUAGGUAGUAGGCGGGGUAACGGCCCACCUAGCCUACGAUGGAUAGGGGUUCUGAGAGGAAGGUCCCCCACAUUGGAACUGAGACACGGUCCAAACUCCUACGGGAGCAGCAGUGAGGAAUAUUGGUCAAUGGACGAGAGUCUGAACCAGCCAAGUAGCGUGAAGGAUGACUGCCCUAUGGGUUGUAAACUUCUUUUAUAAAGGAAUAAAGUCGGGUAAUGGAUACCCGUUUGCAUGUACUUUAUGAAUAAGGAUCGGNUAACUCCGUGCCAGCAG